UGGGGAAUAUUGCACAAUGGGGGAAACCCUGAUGCAGCGACGCCGCGUGAACGAAGACGGUAUUCGUAUCGUAAAGUUCUGUCCUAUGGGAAGAUAAUGACAGUACCAUAGAAGAAAGCUCCGGCUAAAUACGUGCCAGCAGCCGCGGUAAUACGUAUGGAGCGAGCGUUGUCCGGAAUUAUUGGGCGUAAAGGGUACGCAGGCGGUUUAAUAAGUCGAAUGUUAAAGAUCGGGGCUCAACCCCGCAAAGCAUUGGAAACUGAUAAACUUGAGUAGUGGAGAGGAAAGUGGAAUUCCUAGUGUAGUGGUGAAAUACGUAGAUAUUAGGAGGAAUACCAGUAGCGAAGGCGACGUUCUGGACACAAACUGACGCUGAGGUAAGAAAGCGUGGGGAGCAAACAGG
rnacentral:rRNA from 1 species